CCCUUAGAUGUUCUGGGCUGCACGCGUGCUACACUGAUAUUGCCAAUAUGUCAUUCUUAUCCGAAAUGGAUUGGGUAAUCAAGUAAUGAAAUUCCAUGCUUGGAAUCGGUAAUUGCAAUUUUAUCGUGAACGAGGAAUUCCUAGUAAGCACUAGUCAUCAGCUAAUGUUGAUUAUGUCCCUGCCCUUUGUACACACCGCCCGUCGCUACUACUGAUUGGGUGUUCAAGUGAGAUGCUUAGACCCUUGUUGCAUGGUUCAUUAUUGUGCUCCGAAAGGAAAAAGUUUCAAGCUUGAGUGUCUAGAGGAAGUAAAAGUCGUAACA
rnacentral:rRNA from 1 species